UUGUUGCUUGCUUUCUUCCAGGUCAACAGGAGAGUGCCUCACUGACUUCCAGUCUCUCUCCUGUUGGCUGUGACUGAGUCUUAGAUAAUUGCGACAUAACCACUAGAGUGACUAUCCCAGCACUAUUUGCUGUAUUAUGUAACCUAAUUAAAGAAGUGACCGUCCCAUCAUAUUCACAGGUUCCGCCCACACUCAAGGCUAGCAGUUGUCUACAAGGCAGGUACCCAGGAAGUGAAAAUCUCUAAGGUCCUCUUACAAUUCUACCUACCACACUGCACUCUGGACUCUGUUUUAUGAUGUUGGGGUUGAAACUCGGCUAACCAUGUUUCUUCUUGACCACCAGCUUCCUUGGAGGUUCUGUCAGUGUUGGGCAUAAAGAGAGGUAGAAAGACUGGAGAAGAGAAGGGUCAUUCCUUCCUGGUUAUGCUGUUCCUGUCAGUACUGCUUCAGCAACAGCCCUUCCCUCUGGUCCUUCUCUGGCAAGCUGUAUUCUUCAACCCAUUUGAUAGUUUCUGAAUAUAAACUAUGCAUAACUUUGAGAGAUCUUCCCAUUCCAAUGAACUUGAGUGAGCACCUGUAAAGUGGAAACACUCAACUUUAUAAAUUAACCAUUAUAAAAGUUUAUUUCCAUGAGAUGACAAUAUGUCAAAUAUUUAGUAAUAACUCUCUGAUGUAACAUAUAUUCAAAUAUAUUAUUCUACUAGUUUAUUGACUUUAGAUAAAUUAUUUACUAUCUCCAAUGCUCACAUUUUCUGGAUGAGAGAUGGGUAUAACAAUAAUUAAUUUUAAUUGAAUAAAUAAAUAAAGCACUUUUAAGAAAA